GGGGCAACCCUGGUGGCGAGUGGCGAACGGGUGAGUAAAGCAUCGGAACGUACCCGGGAGUGGGGGAUAACGUAGCGAAAGUUACGCUAAUACCGCAUAUUCUCUGAGGAGGAAAGAGGGGGAUCGCAAGACCUCUCGCUUUCGGAGCGGCCGAUGUCGGAUUAGCUAGUUGGUGGGGUAAAGGCCUACCAAGGCGACGAUCCGUAGCGGGUCUGAGAGGAUGAUCCGCCACACUGGGACUGAGACACGGCCCAGACUCCUACGGGAGGCAGCAGUGGGGAAUUUUGGACAAUGGGGCAACCCUGAUCCAGCCAUGCCGCGUGAGUGAAGAAGGCCUUCGGGUUGUAAAGCUCUUUCGGCGGGGAAGAAAUCGCUUGGAUUAAUACUCUGAGUGGAUGACGGUACCCGAAUAAGAAGCACCGGCUAACUACGUGCCAGCAGCCGCGGUAAUACGUAGGGUGCGAGCGUUAAUCGGAAUUACUGGGCGUAAAGCGUGCGCAGGCGGUUGUGCAAGACAGGCGUGAAAUCCCCGGGCUUAACCUGGGAACUGCGCUUGUGACUGCACGGCUAGAGUACGGCAGAGGGGGGUGGAAUUCCACGUGUAGCAGUGAAAUGCGUAGAGAUGUGGAGGAACACCGAUGGCGAAGGCAGCCCCCUGGGCCAGUACUGACGCUCAUGCACGAAAGCGUGGGGAGCAAACAGGAUUAGAUACCCUGGUAGUCCACGCCCUAAACGAUGUCAACUAGGUGUUGGGUGGGUAAAACCAUUUAGUACCGUAGCUAACGCGUGAAGUUGACCGCCUGGGGAGUACGGCCGCAAGGUUAAAACUCAAAGGAAUUGACGGGGACCCGCACAAGCGGUGGAUGAUGUGGAUUAAUUCGAUGCAACGCGAAAAACCUUACCUACCCUUGACAUGUCAGGAAUCCCGCUGAAAGGUGGGAGUGCCCGAAAGGGAGCCUGAACACAGGUGCUGCAUGGCUGUCGUCGGCUCGUGUCGUGAGAUGUUGGGUUAAGUCCCGCAACGAGCGCAACCCUUGUCAUUAAUUGCCAUCAUUCAGUUGGGCACUUUAAUGAGACUGCCGGUGACAAACCGGAGGAAGGUGGGGAUGACGUCAAGUCCUCAUGGCCCUUAUGGGUAGGGCUUCACACGUCAUACAAUGGUCGGUACAGAGGGUUGCCAAGCCGCGAGGUGGAGCCAAUCCCAGAAAGCCGAUCGUAGUCCGGAUCGCAGUCUGCAACUCGACUGCGUGAAGUCGGAAUCGCUAGUAAUCGCGGAUCAGCAUGUCGCGGUGAAUACGUUCCCGGGUCUUGUACACACCGCCCGUCACACCAUGGGAGCGGGUUCUGCCAGAAGUAGCUAGUCUAACCGCAAGGGGGACGGUUACCACGGCAGGGUUCGUGACUGGGGUGAAGUCGUAACAAGGUA
rnacentral:rRNA from 1 species